AACGAACGCUGGCGGCGUGCCUAACACAUGCAAGUCGAACGGAGAUAAGGGGCUUGCUCCUUAUUUUAGUGGCGCACGGGUGAGUAACGCGUAGAUAAUCUGCCUGAUGAUUUGGGAUAACAGUUCGAAAGGACUGCUAAUACCGGAUAAGCCCACGGGGUCUUUGGACUCUGCGGGAAAAGGGGGGGACCUUCGGGCCUUCUGUCAUCAGAUGAGUCUGCGUACCAUUAGCUAGUUGGUAGGGUAAUGGCCUACCAAGGCUACGAUGGUUAGCAGGUCUGGAAGAAUGGUCAGCCACACUGGAACUGAGACACGGUGCAGACUCCUACGGGAGGCAGCAGUGGGGAAUUUUGCGCAAUGGGCGAAAGCCUGACGCAGCAACGCCGCGUGAGUGAUGAAGGCUUUCGGGUCGUAAAGCUCUGUCAGAGGGAAAGAAGUGUAUUAUGGCUAAUAUCCACGAUACUUGACGGUACCCUCAAAGGAAGCACCGGCUAACUCCGUGCCAGCAGCCGCCGCAGUAA
rnacentral:rRNA from 1 species